UACGUAGGGGGCGAGCGUUGUCCGGAUUUAUUGGGCGUAAAGACCUCGUAGGCGGUUUGGUAAGUCAGCGGUGAAAGUUCGGAGCUCAACUCCGAAAGUGCCGUUGAUACUGCCAUGACUUGAGUCCGGUAGGGGAGUGUGGAAUUCCUGGUGUAGCGGUGAAAUGCGCAGAUAUCAGGAGGAACACCAGUGGCGAAGGCGGGUUGCUGGGCUGACACUGACGCUGAGGCGCGAAAGCUAGGGGAGCGAACGGG
rnacentral:rRNA from 1 species